rnacentral:rRNA from 1 species
ACGUUAGCGGCGGACGGGUGAGUAACACGUGGGUAACCUACCUAUAAGACUGGGAUAACUUCGGGAAACCGGAGCUAAUACCGGAUAAUAUUUCGAACCGCAUGGUUCGAUAGUGAAAGAUGGUUUUGCUAUCACUUAUAGAUGGACCCGCGCCGUAUUAGCUAGUUGGUAAGGUAACGGCUUACCAAGGCGACGAUACGUAGCCGACCUGAGAGGGUGAUCGGCCACACUGGAACUGAGACACGGUCCAGACUCCUACGGGAGGCAGCAGUU